rnacentral:rRNA from 1 species
GACGAACGCUGGCGGCGUGCCUAAUACAUGCAAGUAGAACGCUGAAGCUUGGUGCUUGCACCGAGCGGAUGAGUUGCGAACGGGUGAGUAACGCGUAGGUAACCUGCCUGGUAGCGGGGGAUAACUAUUGGAAACGAUAGCUAAUACCGCAUAAGAGUAGAUGUUGCAUGACAUUUGCUUAAAAGGUGCAAUUGCAUCACUACCAGAUGGACCUGCGUUGUAUUAGCUAGUUGGUGAGGUAACGGCUCACCAAGGCAACGAUACAUAGCCGACCUGAGAGGGUGAUCGGCCACACUGGGACUGAGACACGGCCCAGACUCCUACGGGAGGCAGCAGUAGGGAAUCUUCGGCAAUGGACGGAAGUCUGACCGAGCAACGCCGCGUGAGUGAAGAAGGUUUUCGGAUCGUAAAGCUCUAUUGUAAGAGAAGAACGAGUGUGAGAGUGGAAAGUUCACACUGUGACGGUAUCUUACCAGAAAGGGACGGCUAACUACGUG